ACACGACUACAUUAGAUACCCCUGUAGUCCUAGCCGUAAACGAUACUCGCUAGGUGUCGGCCACGGUGCGACCGUUGUCGGUGCCGUAGGGAAGCCGUGAAGCGAGCCACCUGGGAAGUACGGCCGCAAGGCUGAAACUUAAAGGAAUUGGCGGGGGAGCACAACAACGGGUUGGAGCUUGCGGUUUAAUUGGAUUCAACGCCGGAAAUCUUACCGGGACCGACAGCAACAUGAAGGCCAAGCUGAAGACUUUGCCGGAUUAGCUG
rnacentral:rRNA from 1 species